UGGGGAAUAUUGGACAAUGGGCGAAAGCCUGAUCCAGCCAUGCCGCGUGUGUGAAGAAGGUCUUCGGAUUGUAAAGCACUUUAAGUUGGGAGGAAGGGUUGUAGAUUAAUACUCUGCAAUUUUGACGUUACCGACAGAAUAAGCACCGGCUAACUCUGUGCCAGCAGCCGCGGUAAUACAGAGGGUGCAAGCGUUAAUCGGAAUUACUGGGCGUAAAGCGUGCGUAGGUGGUUUGUUAAUUUGGAUGUGACAGCCCCGGGCUCAACCUGGGAACUGCCUUCAAAACUGACAAGCUAGAGUAUGGUAGAGGGUGGUGUAAUUUCCUGUGUAGCGGUGAAAUGCGUAGAUAUAGGAAGGAACACCAGUGGCGAAGGCGACCACCGGGACUGAUACUGACACUGAGGUGCGAAAGCGUGGGGAGCAAACA
rnacentral:rRNA from 1 species